rnacentral:snRNA from 1 species
GUGCUCGCUUCGGCAGCACAUACACUAAAUUAGGGAGACACAAA